CUUGUCCCACACGGGGUCGCGGAGCCUAACCCGGCACGUAAGGCUGGAAAGGGAGGGGACACACCCAGGAUGGGACGCCAGUCCGCCGCAAGGCACCCCAAGCGGGUCUUGAGCCCCAGACCCACCGGAGAGCAGGACCCGGUCCAACCCACUGCGCCGCUGCGCCCCCCAAGAUUCUGCUUUGACAGUUGCUGGCUCAGACUGCAGGAACGGCCUUUCUGUAGUACCCUUGAGUAAGGAAGUGAUGACAAGGACUGCUUCGGCUCACUACUGUACGAACGCUC
rnacentral:lncRNA from 1 species